GUCUUUUAGAAAAUAAUUUAAAGUCUAAUCUGCCCACUGAUUAUUAAUUGAAGGGCUGCAGUAUAUUGACUGUACAAAGGUAGCAUAAUCAUUAGUCAUUUAAUUGAUGACUUGUAUGAAAGAUUGGAUGAAAUAUUAGCUGUCUCUUAUUUAAGUAUAAAAUUUAAUUUUUUUAUUAAAAAGUUAAAAUAGUUUAAAAAGACGAGAAGACCCUAUAGAGUUUGAUUAAUAUAUUAAUUAAGAUUAUAUGUAAAAUAAGUUUAAAAUUAAAUUUAUUAAUUUUAUUGGGGUGAUAAAAAAAUAUAUUUAACUUUUUUUAAAAAUAAAACAUUUAUAAGUGGUUAAAUGAUCCAAUAAUAUUGAUUAUAAGAAUAAAUUACCUUAGGGAUAACAGCGUAAUUUUUUUUUUUAGUUCAAAUAAAAAAAAGAGUUUGCGACCUCGAUGUUGGAUUAAGAUAAAAUUUAAAUGCAGAAGUU
rnacentral:rRNA from 1 species